rnacentral:tRNA from 1 species
GCCAACGUAGCUCAGUUGGUAGAGCAACGNNCGUAGGUCAGGGGUUCGAAUCCCCUCGUUGGCUCCA